CCCUUAGAUGUCCUGGGCCGCACGCGCGCUACACUGAGUGUCUGAGAUACGAGUCUGCCUGGUCCGGCAAGGUCUAGGUAAUCGCUAAAAGACACAUCAUGCUUGGGAUAGAUUAUUGCAAAUAUUAAUCUUCAACGAGGAAUUCCUAGUAAGCGCGAGUCAUCAGCUCGCGCUGAUUACGUCCCUGCCCUUUGUACACACCGCCCGUCGCUGCAACUGAUUGGGUGACCUGGUGAACAUCUUGGACCGGCUUGCCCAUUUUUGGACGAGUUGGAAAAGGACGUAAAUCAGGUACAUCUAGAAAUUGCAAAAGUCGUAACA
rnacentral:rRNA from 1 species